CGUUUGUGUGCUCUGGUGACGUUUCCCAGGUUCCAAGUAGAGAUGGGCUGGGACCUAAUGGUUCAUGUUACAACAUGAUAAAACAUCUUGUGAAACGCAGUGUCAUCAUUUCAACCCUGUUGCUAACCAAACCAGUUGCACCUACAGAGGUAGGUCAACAAUUUCUUAGAUGAAUAAUGUUGCCUGAGUAGUAUUAAAGAUGAUCUGCGGAUGAUGUCCAUUUAAUUACGGGUGUGCAGGCCUUGUAUUUUGUUUUAAACUACCGUAUUUUCCGCACAAUAAGGUGCACCGAAAAACCUCCAAUUUUCUCAAAAGCCGACAGUGCGCCUUAUAAUCCGGUGCGCCUUAUAUAUGGACCAAUAUGGAUUCGUGGAUGAGGACUAAUUUAUUAAAGUAAGCUUAUGUGUUUAUUUUGUGUGUUGUGUGAUAUUAACGUUAUAGCAACGUUGAUUUAUUGAUAUAUGUUUUCACUAUUUCCAGCGUUACUAUAUUGUGAUUGCAUUAACGUUUGAGCAACGUUUAGUUAUUUAUUCUAUGGGCUUUAUAAUCCGGUGCGCCUUAUAUAUGAACAAAGUUUUAAAAUGGGCCAUUCGUUGAAGGUGCGCCUUAAAAUCCGGUGCGCUUAUAGUGCGGAAAAUACAGUAGUUUCUCUUAAACAUAAAUCACAUUGGGUGAUUGCAUUUGAACCAGUCAAGAAAAGAAUGCAGUUACGAAUUAUGCCUUUUAAUCACAUAUAAUCGGUUAUUGGUCAUGGCUAAAAUGUGUUUUGACAUCAAGUAUUUAGGGCACCAGAUGACAAGGCUAGCGCACUGGGUUUUCAGGGAAAGUUAAUCCUCAGGAUGCCUUAUUUGCUUAUGUGGUAGCUAAGCUAUCAUAAAAGCAGACAUAUAUGAAAGUCAAUCAAACAUAGUGCCUCUGAAGUGGCUUAAUAUUUUGGUGAGUCAUUCAGGCCAUUUUUACAGAGCAGUUUUGUUCAGUGUACAUUUGCAGUAUUGUGAAACGGUUCCAAAACAGCCAAACUGUACCAUCCCGCUUUUUGGCCCACUUUUAUUUGCAGUAUUACCAGUCAGUUUGCUCACUUUGGGUGGGGCUAAACAUGGUUCUGUCUGUACUUGUGACACUUUUCCCCCCGUGCACCACCUUAAAGUGUCCUAAAUCUCUCACUCGCAUUUGGGUGUUGCUGGUCACAGUACCGUAUUUUCCAGACUAUAAGGCGCACCGGACUAUAAGGCGCACCUUCAAUGAAUGGCCCAUUUUAAAACUUAAUCCUUAUAUAAGGCGCACCGGACUUCUAAGCGCACCAUUAAUGCAUCAUGUCAGAUUUUUAAUCCAAAUCAAAUCAUUCUCCAUUUUAUCUUUUUUAUUUCAACUUCAGAUGCAACAAAUGACUUUAUAAUCACAAAAUAAUGAUCCAUAGUCUUUUUGAUUCAUGAUUCAUAGUCUUCAGCAGGCCAUUUAUGCUUGAUUUCAUGACACAAUGCUUCGGGCCAGUUUGAAUUUAGGAAUUUAGUCCAUAUAUAAGGCGCACUGGACUAUAAGGCGCACUGUCGGCUUUUGAGAAGAUUUUAGGUUUUUAGGUGCGCCUUAUAGUCCGGAAAAUACGGUAGUUUAGAACGAUUCACUUGUAUAAACUGAAGCUAGCCAUCCACUGAUUGACUACCGUAGAACGUUUACUUCACAAUAAAAUUGAAAAACAUGAUAAAAAUAGAAGACUACUGCAAAAAGUCAUCACAAAGCAUUGUUGAACAUUUUGUGUUUAUCUUUGAACGGAAUACGGACUUUUUAAUCGCUUGUGCACACAAUAGAUGUUAGGCGAGUCUUUGGCCAAUGGUGGCUUUGUGCCUGUUUAUUUGGAUGUGGAGGAGCGAGGAAGAGCAAUAGAUGUCAUAUCUUAAAAGGUUAAAGCCAUUUGUGCUAUGAUCUCCAAAUAAGAGGGUUGCUAUGACAUACCGUGAUGUAAUGCACCAACAUUCAAGUGCAAUGUUCAUAAAGCAUUUUCUGUGGCACACGCACAUCUUUAUAUGGUCAUAUUCCUGUUUCCAAUUCAAGUUGUUGUUAACAAUAUAGAAAUGAUAGUUUAUAAAAAAAAAAAACCAUUGGUGUAUAUGUAACAAUAUGGACUGGAGAUUCCAUGGUCAUGCUGGAAUGGGAAGAACAAAAACGAGAAUCCAAAGAGACACACAUACAAAUGGACAAUUUAGAAAACGUGUCAAACUCAAGGCCCGGCGAUCAAACCAUCAAUUGCUGCUUCCUAAUUGCUGUCUUAAAGCAAACAGUGUGUCUAAUUUGUUUCUUGCUAAAUGGGUUUGCUCUCUGAAAUGUUGUACCAGAAUUGUCUUUUUUCCUUCACUUUUCAAGAAUAUUUCAAACAUUACAUUACAGAUCAAUAAAGAAAGUUGAAUUUUGACAACUCUGAUUUAGAGCAUUAACAACAUGCAAGGGGGGUAAAAGGAAGUCCACAAAGAAGAUCCAAACUCCUCCACAUAAGAUGCAGACAUACGAAUAUCGAACCGCAGAUCAUUGGUUGGGUGUUAAGGGGCGGGGGUGUCAGAAGUGCAUGUGGUACCUGGUUGGGAUCGCUGGCCUUGAACACGUGACAGGACAUCUCCCCUUCGGGGUUGUCUGGAUGGGCCCGCAGCAGGUAGGCAAAAUAGGUGAGGUCGUUGCUGUUGUGCAUGAAACGGGUGAUGUGCUGCGCCUUGUGCUCGAAUAUGAAAACCGAAUAGUUGUUGCUGGAGGAGGUCGAGGAAGAGGAGCAUGGCACGCAGCGGAGGAAGGGACUGUGGAGCACCAGAUGCACCUCCCGUGGCUGCAUGGCGGGGCCGCAAUCGCCUUUUUCGCUCUUCCGCCGGAUUUCGGCUACCAGCCACGGCAGCAUGGGCAGCGUGCUACGGCGGUCCAGCAGCGCCCAGCCGAUGUAGGUCAACGGGAACCUCUUGUCCUGCAUUUGGCUGCCGUCCUUCUCGCCCGGGGGGGUCUCCAUGCUGGACAGCUGUGACAUUUAAAACUUUUUUUUUUUGCAGGGCGUAAAAAAAAAAGGGCCACUCCCCAAAGACGCUAACUGUCAUGGAAUAAAA